AUGUCUGUCUGCCUGGCACAUUCACUGAUUCUCCCCUCCCAGCAUCAGGGAGGGUUGGGCAGAGGAGGAGGCUUGGCUCUGCCCCAGGAUACUCACACCAAACAAAGCCACGGCGGAGGAGGCAUCAGUACCGACAGGAGCUUCUGGAGGCUGGGGGGUUCUGAUGGGCUCAGAGGUCUGAAAUCUGAGGUGGAGGACACUGGGGCAGCCAAAGCUCUCCAGCGCCCCCUGCCCCCGAAGCUGGCUGGAAGGAAGGUGGGAGACACCUGUUGGGUGGCUGAGAGCGGCAGAGCCCACAGGGGCCUCUCCCCAUGCGCCCCGCCCGCCCUGUCCGGCUCGGGUCCCGCCCCGCGGCCCCCCGCAAGCAACGCGGCGAGUGAGCGCACAGCGGCCAGAGGAGCGCAGGGCGGCGGGAGCGCACCGCGGGGACCCAGCCGAGGCCAGGGCCGCCAGGGAGGCGGGCAGAGCAAAGGCAGCGCCGUGGAGACGCCGGGGGCAGCGGGCCACGCCAGGCAGGUGAGUGCGGCCGCGGGGCCCCCGGAGCGAGAGAGCGGGGCGUCGCGACUCCGCCACCUCCUGCCCAUCCGGUCCCGUGCCCGUCCCAGGCUCUGCCCCACCGCCCUCCAUCCUGGCGACUCCUUGGUCCCUGUCCUCUGCCCCUCUCUCCGGCUGUUUUCCCCGUCCUGUCUCAGUCGGUCUCUCUCUAUUUCACUAUCUCUUUCUAAUUUCUCUUUUCUGUCUGCUUCCUGCUGUCUUGGUCCCUUUCCUAUCUCCUUCCUCCACCUUCUUUUCUCCUCCUCCUCCCUGUCUCUAUCUCUCUCCAUCUCUGUCUCUCUACCCUGUCUCUGCCUGAUAUUUCUGCCUCUCUGCAUCUUGGUCCCUCUCAGUCUCUGUGUCACCCCUCUUCUUUCUCUCCUGUCACCCUGUUCCAUCUCUAUUUUCACAUCUUCCUGUCAUUGUCUCUGUCGGACAUCCCCCCUUCUCCUUUUCUUUCUCUCUCCCUCCCUUCACCAUUUCCCGAUGUCUCUUGGUCCCUGUCACCCUCUCUGAUCUGCUCACUCUUCCAGUCCUCAGUCAAUGGCCAUUUCUGAUUCCCGGGGUCUGGUCCUGUUUCUGUUCACCUCUGGGAAAGCCAUCUUUCUGCCUCUUUCCUUGUGACUCCUGCACUUCCCUGAAUCCAUGACCACCUCCCCCUGUGUUGGGGGCUAUGGGGGCAGCAGGGCCCAGCACCCAUAAUUCCCUCCCCCACAGGCGGCCCUUUCCUCGGGGUCCCGCCUGGUACCAGGGCCCCCCUCAGCUGGGGGACUGCGCCUGGAAGCUGUCAUGGAGGCCCUGCAGAAGCAGCAGGCAGCUCGGCUGGCCCAGGGGGUGGGGCCAUUGGCCCCUUCACGCUCGCUGCUGCCACCCGGGCCUCCCCUGCCUGACCACCGGACCCUACAGGCCCCUGAGGGGGCCUUGGGGGAGGUUGGGACUGAGGAAGAGGAAGAUGCCGAAGAUGAGGAGGAGGGGGAGGAAGCCAGGGCAGAGGAGGAGGCAGCUGAGGAGAACCAUCCAGGGGCCCAGGGCCCCAGCUCACCUUCUAGCCAGCCCCCUGGACUCCAUCCCCACGAGUGGACCUACGAGGAACAAUUCAAGCAG
ensembl:lncRNA